CAGAGACAGCAAGGGCGGUUCGUUGCUCCAGAGCCUUUCCGUUCACCUUCAGACUCCUGGGCCAGACUACAUUUAAUCAUAGGACCUACUGAAGAGAUGAGUCUUCAGUAAAGACUUUAAGGUUGAGACCGAGUCUGCGCCUCUCACAUGGAUGCCGACCUACAAUAGAUCAUUGUGUUAAAGUUACAGGAAGUGGUGAUUCUACACGUGCAGGUGGACCUCCUAUUUCUGCUCACUGGUUCCAGUAGGUUUACUGGCCGGUGGUUCCUGGUCUCCUGGCUGAGGAUGUCCCCAAUAACACCCCUCCACCUCCCCUGGAUGUCGAGGGAAGUCCCGCCUAUGCCGUCAGAUCCCUACUGGACUCCCGACGUUGUGGGGGUUGGCUUCAGUACCUGGUGGACUGGGAGGGGUACGGUCCAGAGGAGCGGUUUUGGGUUCCGGUGGAGGACGUUCUGGAUCCCAACAUCAUCCAUGAUUUCCACCUUCUCCGUCCGGACCGGACACUCCCUCCCCGGCUGUGGCUGGACAUGAAACACAUAACCUAUUCUGCCUGGUUAAUGGAAAUAAGGGAGUGACAGAUAUAAGGGAG
rnacentral:lncRNA from 1 species